GUACUCGCUUUGGCAGCACAUAUUCUAAAACUGGACUGAUACAGAGAAGAUUAGCAUGGCUCCUGCACAAGGAUGAAAGGCAAAUUCAUGAAACAUUCUAUUUUUCA
ensembl:snRNA U6 U6 spliceosomal RNA